GGCAAAGACCGCCGAGGCGAGAGCAAAACCCUAAAAAGUACGUCUCAUUCGGAUUGCAGGCUGCAACUCGCCUGCAUGAAGUCGGAAUUGCUAGUAAUCGCAGAUCAGCAUGCUGCGGUGAAUACGUUCCCGGGCCUUGUACACACCGCCCGUCACACCAUGGGAGUCGGUAACACCCGAAGUCGGUAGUCUAACCGAAAGGAGGACGCCGCCGAAGGUGGGAUUGAUGACUGGGGUGAAGUCGUAACAAGGUACC
rnacentral:rRNA from 1 species